rnacentral:rRNA from 1 species
UACGUAGGGGGCUAGCGUUGUUCGGAUUUACUGGGCGUAAAGGGCGUGUAGGCGGCCACCGCAAGUCAGUUGUGAAAUCUCUGGGCUUAACCCAGAAAGGUCAACUGAUACUGCGGGGCUAGAGUGCAGAAGGGGCAACUGGAAUUCUCGGUGUAGCGGUGAAAUGCGUAGAUAUCGAGAGGAACACCUGCGGCGAAGGCGGGUUGCUGGGCUGACACUGACGCUGAACUGCGAAAGCUAGGGGAGCGAACGGG